rnacentral:ncRNA from 3 species
CGGCUACCACAUCCAAGGAA